UACGUAGGGUGCUAGCGUUGUUCGGAAUUACUGGGCGUAAAGCGCACGUAGGCGGAUUGCUAAGUCAGGGGUGAAAUCCCGGGGCUCAACCUCGGAACUGCCUUUGAUACUGGCAAUCUCGAGUCCGGAAGAGGUGAGUGGAAUUCCUAGUGUAGAGGUGAAAUUCGUAGAUAUUAGGAAGAACACCAGUGGCGAAGGCGGCUCACUGGUCCGGUACUGACGCUGAGGUGCGAAAGCGUGGGGAGCAAACAGG
rnacentral:rRNA from 1 species